rnacentral:lncRNA from 1 species
CUAAAGUCUUCCAGGAGGUACAUAUAGAUUUAAUCUUCCUCUCCACAAUUUCUCCCUUGGCUGAACUAAACAUCAUUUCAUUUCCUGAGAGGUGCCAGUUCUCUCUGUUAGAGUAAGUGCCAGUACUUGCCCUGUGAAUUAACAACUCUCUGCUUUAAAAAGAUAAAGGUCUCUGUUUCACACACAUGCACAACCUUGUGAGCCUGAGACCUGCUUAGUGGUCGCUGAGGUUGAUCUAAUUGAAACUGUCAUCACUCCUUGCUCUCCCUGGCCCUGUGGUCCUGCUGACUUCCUUGUGAAUGGGUAGUUGCAGUUCAGGGAAAGGAUUAGUUUGAAAAUUUAUCUUCUCUUUGUUUUGCAGGUCUGUUUUUUGGCUGGCUUGGCUAACGGUGCUAUUGAAGCAAGAAGAUGAAGCAGCGUCCUGUGAAACAGCAGAGGUGGGAGCAGUGUCCUGAGGAAGGAAGCUGAAAUGUGAAUAGGCAUCGCAUCCCAUAUAAAUUGUCUCUUGGCAGGGCUGUGAAGUACGCAAUCCAGGGAAGAAAAAAAAUAAUCAAGUCCAACAGGAAAAUAAGAGAGGCAAGAGAGACCCGAAGAAAAACCAAUAAUAUUAAAACAACAACAAUCAAACAAACAAACAAGCAAACAAAAAACCCACAACUUUAAGGAACUGGGUUAGAACUCCAGGAUAUUGGCUUUUCAGGUAAGUCUUGGUCAACAGAACUUAACCGUGUUGUUUUAUCUAAGGAUUCAAUGAGACUAGCUGAAUUCAUCCAGGGAAUUUACAAGCCGGUACAUUUUGUUGGACAAGCCCUGUAUUCUUGUGUGAUUUAAAAAACAACAUGAUUUUCAUUCAAAUUGACGCACAGCCACAUAUUGCAUACUAUAUUAUUCAUUCUAUUUUGCAUGGAAAAUGAUUGUUUCAAAAUUCUGAAGUAACUGUUAAAUCAUCCAGAUAUUUUUGUUAAAUUUACUGGACCUUUUUCAUUAUUUUGUCUGAGCCAGAGAAAUUAUUUUCAAAUG